CUACUUCUUCAGCUGUCAGAUUUUGGACUUGCUAGUCGGGUCUCAAGUUCUGCAUCUCAAACGACUAGCAUGGAUGUUGCAGGAACCUUUGGUUACUUGGCUCCUGAAUACCUCAUGCGCGGAAAAUUAGUGAUAAAAUUGAUGUCUACGCAUUUGGCAUCGUCCUCCUAGAGCUCCUCUCUGGUAAAAACCCCAUCGACGAUAACCGUCCAAAAGGUCAGGAGAGCCUUGUUAUGUGGGCAAAGCCAAUUUUAAAGGACA